rnacentral:rRNA from 1 species
CACUAUCGUUAACUGAAUACAUAGGUUAACGAGGCGAACCGGGGGAACUGAAACAUCUAAGUACCCCGAGGAAAAGAAAUCAACCGAGAUUCCCCCAGUAGCGGCGAGCGAACGGGGAGCAGCCCAGAGUCUGAAUCAGCUUGUGUGUUAGUGGAACGGUCUGGAAAGUCCGACGGUACAGGGUGAUAGUCCCGUACACCAAAAUGCACAGGCUGUGAACUCGAAGAGUAGGGCGGGACACGUGGUAUCCUGUCUGAAUAUGGGGGGACCAUCCUCCAAGGCUAAAUACUCCUGACUGACCGAUAGUGAACCAGUACCGUGAGGGAAAGGCGAAAAGAACCCCGGCGAGGGGAGUGAAAAAGAACCUGAAACCGUGUACGUACAAGCAGUGGGAGCACCUUCGGGUGUGACUGCGUACCUUUUGUAUAAUGGGUCAGCGACUUAUAUUCUGUAGCAAGGUUAACCGUAUAGGGGAGCCGCAGGGAAACCGAGUCUUAACUGGGCGUUAAGUUGCAGGGUAUAGACCCGAAACCCGGUGAUCUAGCCAUGGGCAGGUUGAAGGUUGGGUAACACUAACUGGAGGACCGAACCGACUAAUGUUGAAAAAUUAGCGGAUGACUUGUGGCUGGGGGUGAAAGGCCAAUCAAACCGGGAGAUAGCUGGUUCUCCCCGAAAGCUAUUUAGGUAGCGCCUCGUGAACUCAUCUUCGGGGGUAGAGCACUGUUUCGGCUAGGGGGUCAUCCCGACUUACCAACCCGAUGCAAACUACGAAUACCGAAGAAUGUUAUCACGGGAGACACACGGCGGGUGCUAACGUCCGUCGUGAAGAGGGAAACAACCCAGACCGCCAGCUAAGGUCCCAAAGUCAUGGUUAAGUGGGAAACGAUGUGGGAAGGCACAGACAGCCAGGAUGUUGGCUUAGAAGCAGCCAUCAUUUAAAGAAAGCGUAAUAGCUCACUGGUCGAGUCGGCCUGCGCGGAAGAUGUAACGGGGCUAAACCAUGCACCGAAGCUGCGGCAGCGACACUAUGUGUUGUUGGGUAGGGGAGCGUUCUGUAAGCCUGCGAAGGUGUGCUGUGAGGCAUGCUGGAGGUAUCAGAAGUGCGAAUGCUGACAUAAGUAACGAUAAAGCGGGUGAAAAGCCCGCUCGCCGGAAGACCAAGGGUUCCUGUCCAACGUUAAUCGGGGCAGGGUGAGUCGACCCCUAAGGCGAGGCCGAAAGGCGUAGUCGAUGGGAAACAGGUUAAUAUUCCUGUACUUGGUGUUACUGCGAAGGGGGGACGGAGAAGGCUAUGUUAGCCGGGCGACGGUUGUCCCGGUUUAAGCAUGUAGGCUGGUUGUCCAGGCAAAUCCGGAUAAUCAAGGCUGAGGUGUGAUGACGAGGCACUACGGUGCUGAAGUAACAAAUGCCCUGCUUCCAGGAAAAGCCUCUAAGCAUCAGGUAACAUCAAAUCGUACCCCAAACCGACACAGGUGGUCAGGUAGAGAAUACCAAGGCGCUUGAGAGAACUCGGGUGAAGGAACUAGGCAAAAUGGUGCCGUAACUUCGGGAGAAGGCACGCUGGUGUGUAGGUGAAGCCCCUGCGGGUGGAGCUGAGACCAGUCGAAGAUACCAGCUGGCUGCAACUGUUUAUUAAAAACACAGCACUGUGCAAACACGAAAGUGGACGUAUACGGUGUGACGCCUGCCCGGUGCCGGAAGGUUAAUUGAUGGGGUUAUCCGUAAGGAGAAGCUCUUGAUCGAAGCCCCGGUAAACGGCGGCCGUAACUAUAACGGUCCUAAGGUAGCGAAAUUCCUUGUCGGGUAAGUUCCGACCUGCACGAAUGGCGUAAUGAUGGCCAGGCUGUCUCCACCCGAGACUCAGUGAAAUUGAACUCGCUGUGAAGAUGCAGUGUACCCGCGGCAAGACGGAAAGACCCCGUGAACCUUUACUAUAGCUUGACACUGAACAUUGAGCCUUGAUGUGUAGGAUAGGUGGGAGGCUUUGAAGCGUGGACGCCAGUCUGCGUGGAGCCAACCUUGAAAUACCACCCUUUAAUGUUUGAUGUUCUAACGUUGGCCCCUGACCGGGGUUGCGGACAGUGUCUGGUGGGUAGUUUGACUGGGGCGGUCUCCUCCCAAAGCGUAACGGAGGAGCACGAAGGUUAGCUAAUCCUGGUCGGACAUCAGGAGGUUAGUGCAAUGGCAUAAGCUAGCUUGACUGCGAGCGUGACGGCGCGAGCAGGUGCGAAAGCAGGUCAUAGUGAUCCGGUGGUUCUGAAUGGAAGGGCCAUCGCUCAACGGAUAAAAGGUACUCCGGGGAUAACAGGCUGAUACCGCCCAAGAGUUCAUAUCGACGGCGGUGUUUGGCACCUCGAUGUCGGCUCAUCACAUCCUGGGGCUGAAGUAGGUCCCAAGGGUAUGGCUGUUCGCCAUUUAAAGUGGUACGCGAGCUGGGUUUAGAACGUCGUGAGACAGUUCGGUCCCUAUCUGCCGUGGGCGCUGGAGAAUUGAGGGGGGCUGCUCCUAGUACGAGAGGACCGGAGUGGACGCAUCACUGGUGUUCGGGUUGUCAUGCCAAUGGCACUGCCCGGUAGCUAAAUGCGGAAGAGAUAAGUGCUGAAAGCAUCUAAGCACGAAACUUGCCCCGAGAUGAGUUCUCCCUGAGACUUUAAGUCUCCUGAAGGAACGUUGAAGACGACGACGUUGAUAGGCCGGGUGUGUAAGCGCAGCGAUGCGUUGAGCUAACCGGUACUAAUGAACCGUGAGGCUUAACCUU